GACGAACGCUGGCGGCGUGCCUAAUACAUGCAAGUAGGACGCAGUUGCGAACGGGUGAGUAACGCGUAGGUAACUACCUAUUAGAGGGGGAUAACUAUUGGAAACGAUAGCUAAUACCGCAUACUAGUAGAUGGACCUGCGUUUUAUUAGCUAGUAGGUAGGGUAAUGGCCUACCUAGGCAACGAUAAAUAGCCGACCGGAAGGGGGUGUCGGCGACACUGGGACUAGGACACGGCCCAGACUCCUACGGGAGGCAGCAGUAGGGAAUCUUCGGCAAUGGGGGGAACCCUGACCGAGCAACGCCGCGGGAGUGAAGAAGGUUUUCGGAUCGUAAAGCUCUGUUGUUAAGGAAGCGGUACUUAACCAGAAAGGGACGGCUAACUACGUGCCAGCCGCCGCGGUAAUUC
rnacentral:rRNA from 1 species